UAACAACAUGCUUUAAUGACAAAAAAAUAGCUAUUAUUUUACAAGACAGACAGUAUAAAACAUAUGUACAAAUAAAAAAGCCUCCAGAUAGUCGAGAGACAGAUUUAUAUAUAUGUACCUCUCCUACAAGUCAAGUUGCUGUGUGACUGGCUGAAAUGGAUUGAACACUUAGAGAAUAUAUGGUAGAAUAUUAUAGAUACUUCCUAUAUCCUACACAACCAUUACCUACAGUAUUUAAAAAUCAACAGUCAUUUUAUUCUGUCAGGCAUGGCAGAAGAGGUCUACAGAUAAGAUGACAUGAUAUAUAUUUAGUAUGUACAGUUCUGUUCUCCAAAGCCAAGGGUCCAAGCACUAUUUGCAAUGGGAAGUGGAAUAGUAUUUCGUAUUUAGCAUACUUCCAUAUCUCUAUUGAAUUAGAAUUGUGAUUUUGAGAUUACGACCUUUCCCCUGUAACUGUGUGUGUGUGUGUGUGUGAGUGUGUGUCCCUGGGAUAACCUUCAGGUGGAGCGAUGGAGUUCAGCACCCAUUUCGAGGUUUCUCCAGUAAUACUUAGAAAAUAUGAAAGGUUCCAAACUUAACGAGGCUAUAUCGUCAGGAUGAAGCGAAGCUUUAACAUUGUAGACUUGACCAACAAAAUACUUUACUACAAUGGAACAAACAAAUAGAGAGACAAACGGAGAAGCCACAAUGUGUGUGUUUCUCAUAAUGGUCUUGAGUCGCUGAAAUGGCUGUUAUUUGAGGUUGCGCAGUGACUCCCUGGUAAGGUCCAGUUUGGGACCUCAGAGAGCGGUCCGUAUAGAAAUGAAAAGAAUAAAGAAUAGCUAAGGAAAUCUAUGGUGGUCCCAUGGUGGGAAUUUGAAUGCUGUAGUACAGCGAGACUUAUUUUAUAUCUAAACUCUUCUUAGGAGUGGGGGAGGCUAAGUACAGCAGCUCAGACCUGGUAGAGUGAGAUUGUCUUCCGGGCACCGUCUCGUUUUAAAAAUAAAUUACAUCACAUUAAAUUUGAACAUAAUAUUGGAGAUUAGAAACCGAGGAAUGAGUGCUGGUCAGACUGUAAAGUAUCCCUCCUCCCACUCCUGAGGUUUGAAUCCUACUCUUACACGGCAUUUAUCUGUGUCACACAUUCAUGAAAUGUAGUCCUACAGUAGAACCUAUGCACAAAACCAAAACAAUUAAUUAGUCCUUUAAUUAGUCCUUUAAUUAGUCCUUCAUUUACGUUUCAAAAUAUACAUGAUCUGAGGUACUACAAGAUCAAAAUCACCUGAGGUAAGUCUCUCUGUAUUCACCUACAUCGGUUCUUGAGGACAGGAGACAGUUGCUUUCACUCACUCCCAUGGCUAGCAUCUAUUGCACCCAUUUGUCUCCAUACAGGUGUGAGUGAAUGUUUGGCAAGACCAGGCAUGCAUACUGUAGAUUAAACAUGCUAAACUCACGAGAAAAUAAAACAGUUUUGCUUGAGAGAGAGAGAGAACUGAUCCAUCUCUUCAAAGUAAUCAUCAGUCUUACAGAAAGAGAUACAGUAAUGGUUCUCUUUCAAUUCUUUUUUUCGAUAUCUCAAAUGUGGGGUUUCACUAGGACCACCUUCUCUCUUGGAAGUACCUAUCCAAAGCUUUUGUUGGAGACAGAUAGGUAGAGUGGUGAAUGAGGUGAGAUCCUAACUUCCAUAAAAUUCCUUUUCUACUUCUCAGUCUCUGUUGGUACUGUAGCUAGCGUCACUGCUAGCUAUUGAGACUUGGUUAGUCCAUGCUGCAAGGCUAACUUGGCUAGCUUGCUGAGAGGCAAGGUAGCAACACGGUAGCAUUACUAGCUCCCUUAUCUCGUCUAGUUUAACCUACAUUCACCCAUUCUGUUAACUAGACCAACCCUCACAGCCUUCUCGUCAGUUGCGGGAGCACUCUUUCUGAAGGCUAACUCAGUCACAUGGUUUCCUUUAGCCAGCACUGAGCUAGCCACGGCACAUCUUCACCACAAGGUAGAUGCUAGCCAGCUAACAAGCCACUAGCCUUGCUGCUAUAGCGUUAUACAGUGGUCAAUAUUGUUAGCUGUUAGCCGCAAAGCUCCUAACUAGCUAACUUGGUAUGCCGUUGACACAUGUUGACAUAAGCUACUAUUCGCUAGAUACCAGCCACAGGGCUUCUAACUAGCUAGCCUAUGCCAUCUACACGUUGGUCUUUCAACAGGCAUUGCUUGGUCCCACUAGCAAGCCUUGUCCCUCGCAAUGGCCACUGCUAUCCCUUCCCAGAACGAGGUCUAGCACUCGAACCCCCAAGUUCUUGCGGCUCCAUGAUUGUGGGGAAAGAGAACCACCCUCUAUGCAUCAAUUGCUUGGGACCCUGAAUCAUAUGACCACUGCAGACUGCUGACGAGAGCAGGUCUGAAGAGGAGGCUUAAACAUGCUUCUAUUUCAUCAUCCCGUCUUUCCUCCGAGCCAACAGUGACAGCCGAGGCUCAGCACUCCGCAACUGAGCCAAGUUGGAGCGAGGUCAUGGAUAGCCUCGACUCCCUCCCCUCACAGUCGGACGACACAGUGUCAGGGGAAGGCGAGUUAGGUGAUGACGAGGAUGACAAUGGGAUUCAUCGCACAGAAAUCCUUGAGAUAGCGCAGAAGAUGGGGACUGCUGGUGAAACUUAGCUUGUCAUUUUUAAUUAUUUCGUUUUAAGCCUUUCCCAAACCAUAGCCCUAACCUUAUCCACUCUGAAUGAAUCCCUAAACUAUUAACCUUCGAUUUUAGUUAUUUCUGGUAGAAGCAACGACCAGAUAGAGCCCGGGGAGACCCCAUCCCAAAACACGGUGACCAUGCCGUUUGGGGUGGAAUAGGUGACACAUCCAGGAGAAGAGGGUGAUGCCGUAUGCUUUCCCUCCUCAUCGUCGAGCCCUUGGUGACCAGUGAUUUCCCCAUUGGCAGUUACAACCCUGCUCACCCAGAUGCUUUAGCCUUCGGGGCGUAGCCGGUGAAAAAAAAGAAAAAUGGAGAUGAUACAGGCCACUUAUGCACGCUCUCUGUUUUUACCGUUGGUGCAUUGAUGUCGUGGAGAAGUGGUGUGACUAUACAGAUUUUUCAUCUCUAGACUCUGCUUUCCAGGGUCCUGUGCUCCUUGUAGGAGAAGGUUCAUCUUUGUUAGGGUCCUUUUGCCGCUUUCUCGGCCUGCCAAGGUCCCGGUAGUCUCUAUGGCAGGCACGUCGCUUAUGUCCAUUCGCCAAGCUUUUAGCUGUCUGUGUCUAUUGUGCUUAAAAUCCUUUCACAGCAGCUAUUAGCCAAUUAAAAGCAUUCUGGCAUAAUAUUCCUCCUUUCACUUUACUACUGUCCUUGGUGUCCCUAAGCGUAUGUGUGAACUGUGCUCUACGAGCCGCUGUUCGCGCCCACAGUCUGUCCAGGUGGUUUUCAGGUUAAUGUACUUAACCCUAUCUUUGGGCGGGGUCAACUUUUUUCCAUUGUCGCACCUUGGAGCCUGUGGCUUUUUGCCUGUCUCCUUCCCUAGAAGGGCAUCCCUGUCGUUUCCCCUAUGUUCCCCCGACAUUCCCCCGUCGUUUCCCAGUCGUUUCCCAGUAAGUGUGGUUCUGUAGGAGAGCUCAGGCAAGGCUGUCAUGCUCUUCGCUCAUUUCAACGAUAUCCUGCCAGAUCAUGGGAACCAUUCUUUUGGCUGAUGGCCUUCGGAGGGCCCUCUCCUACAGAGGAGUUUACCUCUCGGGCACUGUUUGGGGCAUAUCUCAUUAGCUUGAGAUUAUAUGCGUCUUGCUUCUCCUCACUUUGUUAUGAGAUUUUUCCCCUUGGGUUGUCUGUGCACCUUUUUGGUGGAUACUCCCUUGGUUUCAGGACCUCUGAGGGUUGCUGAUGUUGGGACUUCCCUGGCUUCGGAGAGCAUGUUUUGCGAUAUGGGAGUUGGCAAUAUCCCCACAUGUGAGAUAUUGAAAUGAAUAAUUGAAAGAGAACUUACUUGCGUAACACCAGUUCUCUGAAAUUAUGAGUAAUACAUCUCACCACAUUCCUUUUGCUCGCAAGAGAGUGAGGAAGAGAAGCAUGCUUGAGAAUAACCAGAGGGCGGGACUAGCUCCUUUUAUGGAAUUGAGGGUCUCAAUUUAUUCGCCACUCAUAAUAAGUAACCUUAAGUUAUUAAUUGUUGCUGUCAUUGCUAUUGAAACCUAAGGAGGGUAGUCAGAAAAGAGUUGAACUCUUUAAACCUAAUGUUAAAGGGGAGUUGAACUUCAGCUUCAGUUUCAAUUCUUCUCAUUAGGAAAUACAACUAAGAAUGAGAUUUGGAUCUUGGAGGCCAUGCUUUGAUGUGGGUGUCUCUUGUGUGUGUGUGUUCGAACGUGGUAAGCGUUUGUACUUUCAUUGUGCCAAAAAAAGUACACAGUUACAGUCAUUCACCCUUCUAGAUCAGGCUGGUCACUAGAAAUAGACAGGGAUUUCAGAUGUUUGAAAAGUUCCUGAGAAUAUAUGCCUUCCUCAGCACUCACAAAAAGAAAGAAAAACUAUUUCCCAGCACUGGGUGGAAAAUCAUCUUUUUUUAUUUAACGAGGCAAGUCAGUUAUUUUUAUUUACAAUGACAGCCUACAGUGGGUUAACUGCCUUGUUCAGGGGGAAAACGACAGAUUUGAACCUUGCCAGCUCAGGGAUUCAAAUCCAGCAACCUUUCGUUUACUGGCCCAACACUCUAACCACUAGGCUACCUGCUGCCUCAUGAGGUUUGCAGCUGGAGCGCGCUGCUUAGACCACUGCGCUAUUGACAGUUCUCAACACUAUAGCAAGCCAUGAGAAUACUAUGAAUACUGAUGAUACCUAGUGUGUUGCUUUAAAACAUUUUUUUUUAAGCCUUCCCCAUACCGUAGCCAAACCUUAACCACUCUGAAGUAAUGCCUAAACUGUUAACCUUUGAAUUAAUGAUGUUUUAACCCUGUAACCACGCGGAACGAAUGCAUUAAAAAAAGACGUUCAUCCAUAAUACGUUGGACGGGACACGAUGAGAUAUUGUUGUUCUAGAUAACUUAAAACAGUCUAACCAGGUUUUGUGUCUGGAAGCAGCCUAGACUCGCUAGCAAGCUAGCCAACUUCUUUCAACAAUUAGCUUCAGCCGGCCGUUGUGCGACCUGUGGCAAAGUUGGUUUGACUUUGGAUCAUGGCUGGCAUGCUCAUUAGGCAGGAUUAGGUGGCCGCCUACGGUGGCAGAUUAAUGAGGGUGUCAUUUUCUGAGCUAAACUGACCAAGACCCACCUCCAACGACAACACAUAAAUCCUCACAUAAUUCUGACCCAAAACAAUUACAAUAUGUCUCAAGCAGUGGCAUAAGGGCUUUUAAGGUGAGCGUUGAUGCUGCCCUGUGAUAAAGCAGAGCCCACUUUGUCAAAGGCAGGGGCGCCAAAUAUUUUGCUUGUCCAUUCCCAGCUUGCCUCUCCGGGGUGCUGUUGGAGUGACGCAUUGCUGCAGCGCUCCACCAACGUUCCGUCAAAACAAUUAUCUAACAUAAAUCAUGUAGCUGAUAUAGGAUAUGGUAGAAAGAAUACGUGUCCUUUUCUGUAGCCUACAGGCUGGAGAUAAAAUGUAUGACAAUGUAAUGAGACAGACACUUUUUACAUCAUGCAGGAUUCUCCGAUCAAAUAGAAACUGGCUACUCUUUAGUUGAAUGAUCUAGCUGGCAAGGUAACUGCUGUUUGACAGAAAAAAAUAGUACUUAUUCCCAGUGCUGAGCUAGAAGUGUAACUGUCAUGUGACGUUCGCUACUGUUUCAUCCCCUCUCGAGGUAUAUACACUGCUCAAAAAAAUAAAGGGAACACUAAAAUAACACAUCCUAGAUCUGAAUGAAUGAAAUAAUCUUAUUAAAUACUUUUUUCUUUACAUAGUUGAAUGUGCUGACAACAAAAUCACACAAAAAUAAUCAAUGGAAAUCCAAUUUAUCAACCCAUGGAGGUCUGGAUUUGGAGUCACACUCAAAAUUAAAGUGGAAAAGCAUACUAUAGGCUGAUCCAACUUUGAUGUAAUGUCCUUAAAACAAGUCAAAAUGAGGCUCAGUAGUGUGUGUGGCCUCCACGUGCCUGUAUGACCUCCCUACAACGCCUGGGCAUGCUCCUGAUGAGGUGGCGGAUGGUCUCCUGAGGGAUCUCCUCCCAGACCUGGACUAAAGCAUCCGCCAACUCCUGGACAGUCUGUGGUGCAACGUGGCAUUGGUGGAUGGAGUGAGACAUGAUGUCCCAGAUGUGCUCAAUUGGAUUCAGGUCUGGGGAACGGGCGGGCCAGUC
rnacentral:lncRNA from 1 species